rnacentral:rRNA from 1 species
CGGGUGCACUGAUCCAGCCGGGCCUUUCCCUCUGUGGAACCCCAUGGCCUUCACUGGCUGUGGUGGGGAAACAGGACUUUUACUUUGAAAAAAUUAGAGCGCUCCAGGCAGGCCUAUGCUCGAAUACAUUAGCAUGGAAUAAUAGAAUAGGACGUGUGGUUCUAUUUUGUUGGUUUCUAGGACCGCCGUAAUGAUUAAUAGGGACAGUCGGGGGCAUCAGUAUUCAAUUGUCAGAGGUGAAAUUCUUGGAUCUAUUGAAGACUAACUACUGCGAAAGCAUUUGCCAAGGAUGUUUUCAUUGAUAAGGAACGAAAGUUAGGGGAUCGAAGACGAUCAGAUACCGUCGUAGUCUUAACUAUAAACUAUGCCGACUAGGGAUCGGACGAUGUUAUUCUUUGACGCGUUCGGCACCUUUCGAGAAAUCAAAGUGCUUGGGCUCCAGGGGGAGUAUGGUCGCAAGGCUGAAACUUAAAGAAAUUGACGGAAGGGCACCACCAGGGGUGGAACCUGCGGCUUAAUUUGACUCAACACGGGGAAACUCACCAGGUCCAGACACAGUGAGGAUUGACAGAUUGAGAGCUCUUUCUUGAUUCUGUGGGUGGUGGUGCAUGGCCGUUCUUAGUUGGUGGAGUGAUUUGUCUGCUUAAUUGCGAUAACGAACGAGACCUUAACCUGCUAAAUAGCCCGUACUGCUUUGGCAGUUCGCCGGCUUCUUAGAGGGACUAUCGG